rnacentral:misc_RNA from 1 species
GUAGGUGAACCUGCGGAAGGAUCAUUUCCAAUAAUUGAAACAAACACAUUUAAACACCUUUAUUGGUGUGUGAAUUGUUUUGGGUACUCUAUUUCUCUCAAAGGGAAAAAAGAAAGCAAGGGGAUUUCUGAUGGAUAAGCAGUGAAGUAUUGUUGGUGUUGAAGCUUAAAAAACAAGUAUGUUGUUGAUUGGAAUGCGUUGGAAGACUUGUAUAAGGAAGUAAAACACUUUACACCUGUCGAUAACGACU